GUUUCUAUGGUGUAAGGAGCACGUUAGAUUUUCAUUCUAAAAGAAUAGAUUUAUCUAUUAGAAACA
rnacentral:tRNA from 1 species